GCCUGGGUGGCUCAGUCGGUUGAGUGUCCGACUUCGGCUCAGGUCAUGAUCUCACAGUUUGUGGGUUCAAGCCCUGCAUCAGGCU
rnacentral:tRNA from 1 species